rnacentral:rRNA from 1 species
GAUGAACGCUGGCGGCGUGCCUAAUACAUGCAAGUCGAGCGGACAGACGAGAACCUUGCUUCACUGAUGUUGGCGGCGGACGGGUGAGUAACACGUGGAUCACCUACCUAUAGGACUCGGAUAACUACGGGAAACCGUAGCUCAUACCGGAUAAUAUUUUGAACCGCAUGGUGCAAAAGUGAGAGACGGUCUUGCUGUCACUUGUAGAUGGAUCCGCGCUGCAUUAGCUAGUUGGUCAGGUACCGGCUUACCAAGGCGACGAUGUGUAGCCGCCCUGAGAGGAUGAUCAGCCACACUGGGACUGAGACACGGUCCAGACUCCUACGGGAGGCAGCAGUGGGGAAUUUUGGGCAAUGGGCGCAAGCCUGAUCCAGCCACGCCGCGUGCGUGAUGAAGGUCUUCGGGUCGUAAAAUGCUUUUGUUCGGAACGAAAAGCUUUCUUUUAAUCCAGGCGGGUCAUGACGGUACCGAAAGAAUAAGCACCGGCUAACUACGUG